CGAUACAAGUCGUGCCUUUAGUUUCUAAAGCUCACAUAUAAGAGAUUUUCUCUUCCCUUUUUGUUUGUGGUGUCUAGAUUUUGAUCCACAAUCAUGCCUGCGGGAGGUUUCACGGCCGUGCCUGCCGGAGGAGUGGAGUUUGAGGCUAAGAUAACGCCUAUCGUCAUCAUUUCCUGCAUAAUGGCUGCCACCGGUGGCCUCAUGUUUGGUUACGACGUUGGAGUUUCAGGGGGCGUUACGUCGAUGCCUGAUUUCUUGAAAAAGUUCUUCCCCACUGUGUAUAACAAGACGCAGGAUCCCACUAUCAAUAGCAACUAUUGCAAGUAUGAUAACCAAGGAUUGCAGUUGUUCACGUCGUCACUGUACUUGGCUGGCUUAAUAGCUACUUUCUUUGCGUCCUACACCACUAGAAAGUUAGGCAGGAGACCAACCAUGUUGAUUGCUGGGAUGUUCUUCAUUAUUGGUGUGGUGCUUAAUUCUGCAGCUCAAGACCUUGCCAUGCUUAUAAUUGGCAGGAUUUUGCUGGGCUGUGGAGUCGGUUUUGCUAAUCAGGUUUGUUUAUUACACAAUUGUAUGGUUUUCUUUUCUGUUAAUUGUCAAAAAAUGAUGGACACCUAGCUAGC
rnacentral:misc_RNA from 1 species